GGCAAGGUGGCAGAGUGGUUAAUGCGCUGGCCUGCUAUUCGGCAAGCCAGUUCCUUCGGGAGCGUGAGUUCGAAUCUCAUCCUUGUCG